rnacentral:misc_RNA from 1 species
AAGACUAUAGACCUGCGGAGUACCUGCGGAGGGAUCAUUACCGAGUUCUCGCCCCUCGCGGGGUAGACCUCCCACCCACUGUGAUCACUACCGUCGUUGCUUUGGCGGGCCGCUGGGCCCAGCCCACCGCCGGCCCCGGCUGGCGCGUGCCCGCCAGAGGCCCUACAAACGCUGGAUAUCAGUGCCGUCUGAGUACACAUGUUAAUCGUUAAAACUUUUAACAAUGGAUCUCUAGAUCGG